UAUGAUUGUCGGCAACUUUUGGAGGAAGGAUCUGGAGAAGAUGUGAAAUUCUGUAUGAGAUAUUUGUUGUUUUGCAGAUUAACCUAACACAGAAUGAUACGGAAGUAUGUUUUAUUUAAAAAUCAAAUGUCAUAAAACCCGGAUUCAUCUUUACCCUCUACUUGUUUCAUGAAUGUGAGCCCUGGAACCUACGUAAAUGGUGAACUCUUAGAAGGCUAAGACCGUGAUAUUUUGUCUCUUCAAUAACACUGAUCAAGAUAGCAACAAAACAAAAGCUAUGACAAAAAAAGAGCCUGGGAGCUAGACUCCACUCGGGACAUCUUUGACGGUGCUGGAUAAGAGCUGCUUAUUCAUUCUGCCUUCAACUAUUGUCUGCUAUUUUGUAAAGUUUCACCGAAAGAUUUGAACGUGGCUUUGGAAAUGAACCACCUCCAUGCUCAAGCUUGAAAGUUUUCAAUACGUGCAUAUGAACUGAGAACAGGGAGCCUAGGAGAGGCUGAGGAUGAGGAAGAAUGGGCGGUGUCUUCUGUGAUCGAGUUUCCUUAGCGGGGCAUUUGUU